rnacentral:rRNA from 1 species
CAGCCGUAAAACAAUGUGCGUUAGGUGUGUCGGUAACCACGCGUUACUGAUGCGCCGAAGAGAAAUCGUGAAACGCACCACCUGGGAAGUACGGUCGCAAGGCUGAACUUAAGGAUUGGCGGGGAGCACCACAACAGGUGGAGCCUGCGGUUUAAUUGGAUUCAACGCCGGACAUCUCACCGGAUAAGACAGCUGAAUGAUUGUCAAUCUGAAGGUUUUACAUGACUAGCUGAGAGGAGGUGCAUGGCGUCAGUGACU